GAAGCGGUGGGGGAGGCUAUGCGCCGCGUCGCGGCCGCCAUCGGCGACGGGGCGCUCCGCACCACGGUGACCCGCGGCUCGGGCCCGCGCGGUCUCGCC
rnacentral:tRNA from 1 species